UCGAAAACGGACGUGCAUGGACAAGGGGGAGGGGGGGGUCAAUUUGGGGUCAAAAACCGCGGACGUACUUAAUGGAUAGCCCCUAAUCUCGACCAACAAGGGGGUGGUUGUGUUGCGAAAUGGAUCCUCCACUAAGACUCCUUGUUAGUGGGUCGCCCGGACGGUCCCUGACACCGCCCCUUGCAGCAUCAUCUCUCUUGCGGACACGACAGUGUUGCAGGAUUGCAUACUCGCUAGAGCCGCAGGAGGCAUCGCGCGGCGCCCUUACGGGCAACGGGGGUGGGCCAACCCGUUUGGGUCCGCCCCGAAUCACCCGGUACUUAUUGAAUUUGACACUGAAGUGGUCGAAUACAAUGUAAUUUGGGACACCUCCCAAUUACAGUGUAGGUUAGGUACCUCAUCAACUUCUGCCCAUUUUCUAGUCCAUACGUUUAUUUUACUAGUUUAUAUUUAAAACAUAAGAUUGAAUGUUUACCUUGCGUCAUAGUAGAGUACAGUCUUCAGGAAUUAAUUUAAUAAUAAAACGCUGUUUAUGUCAGAAAA